rnacentral:misc_RNA from 1 species
CCCUUCACCGCUUUGGUUUCCUCACAUCCCUGCUUGCUGUAGUAAACCUGUCUCCUGCUCUCACGUCUCUUGUUGCUGCCUCACCUGCUGUUCUUCUCCCGUCGUCGUCAUCGCGUUUUUUUUUUGCGUUUGUGCUUCUUAAAGGAGCUCGCGUGUACCCGCUGUCGGCGCGUGUCUGUGCGUGUGCCUUGUGUCCCCUCCCCUCCCUUCCGCGCUUCCGCCCUCUCUCCUUUACAACGUCCCCCAGUAGUCUUUGACAGGGCCACAAAGUCCGGGACGACCCGACCCAUAACACGAAAAGAAGGGGGAGGCGCAUCCUUGACAGCGCCGCCGCCACGUGAGUUGCCAUCGAUCUUCUUCUGCCUUUGUCUUCUUUGCUGCUUUUCUCUUGCUGCUUGCUUGCUUGAGACGCUGCACACGUAAACACGCCUGUAUUCGUGUGUGCACCCCCUCCCGCAUAUCUUUGGCUCGUUAUCGAUUGUUACAUUUUUCCUUUCCGUAUUAUUUAUAUUUGCCAUCGUUGCCAGCGCCUAUCUUCUCUUCAACUGUGUUCCUCGAUCCCUUCCUUUCCUCGAUCCUUUUCCGUGCACGCUGGCCUGGCCGCUUCUCUGCCGACCCGUUUCUUCUUUUCCUUCUUUUUGUGCACCUGCGUCGUCUUUUAUCUCCUUCGUUUCUCCUUCUCUCUGCCUUUCCCGAUUCACCGUGUGGUUGCGUGUGUGUGCCGUCUAGCCCAGUCAGAGGUUUCUCCACAACACCGACGCACUCCCGUCCAGCAAAGAGGGCCUGCACACACACACAUAUCUGUAUCUAUCUAUAUAUAGAUACACAGCCAUUGCUGCUGCAAGAGCGUCUUUUAGUUUUUUUUUGCUUGUUGUCCUUUGUGACUGCGCCAUCGUUCUUGACUUUGUCUUGUGCUUCCUUUCCUCUCCUCCCACUCCCCCUCCAUCUCUUCGGUGCCUCCGCAGCAGUCUGCUGACGUGUGUUUGUUCUCUUCUUUUCUGUCGUCUCCGCCUCGGUUCGCCCUUGGCGCUUCUCGCGCGUGGGUUUGUCUUUGGACUCCUUGCGUACGCCUAUCCAGCUUCCACAAUGAAGAAACUGUUCGCGAGUCGUGGCAACACCUCGCCGACGUCAGCGGGUCCUGCCGGUAAGGCGCCACUCUCGACAUCGAGGACGUCGGGUGGUCCGACGGCGUACUCCGGCAACCGCUUCGACAUGCGUGAUCCGGACGGGGGUCCCGUGGACCGCUUGAACAGCAGCGGCUCCAGCCAAGGAAUGGGAGAUGGCAUGGGACCGUACGAUAGGGUCGGCUUGAUGUCGGAGGCGGCCGAGACCACCUCCGGCGCCCGAAGCAACGACCCCGCCAAGCGAUACGGCUCCUGCUACGAGGGCGGGGCAAAUGCCCGCUGCGACACGUGCAAGAUGGUGAAGAUCGCGUGCAACUGCCAGAGUUGUCACUGUUGCCACCGCUUCCUCAUGUCGCCGUCGAGCAUCCAUCACUGCCGGCUAUGCUGGCGUGCCACGUGUGCCGAGUGCAGUAACUACAUGCGUACUAACGACUUCAUGGGCGGCCGGAUAACCCGUACUUGCCUCACGUGUGCCGUGCCCAAGGCACUGAUCUUCAUAACGCAGAUGCGGUACAGCGUGUACGACUCGGCAGGCGUCUCUAGCAGGACGGCGAGGGGCGGGUCUGACAGGACAGCGAGGGGCAUGUCUGACAGAACAGCGAGGGGCUGGUAUGACAGGAACGGCGAUGCAGACGGAAGAAAAUGGGGGGGAGUCUUGCCACCUGCGAUGGAGCCGAACUCUUUUCGCUGGGGCCUGUACGUGCUCGGGUGCGAGAUCGAGGCCCCGCGGCGCUGCAUCAACCCACUCUGCUCCAGCCCAUUCGCCUACGUCGAUACGUGCGCCAAGUGCAAAUCCCCGACCGUCACCAUAUUGUUUCACGAGCAGCGCCACAUCGCGACAAUGAACACGUCGAAAAAGGUCGCAAAACUCAUCGACAGCGGCGGCCUGCCAUCCGGUUCGACGGAGGCGUUGGAGGAUGUGGUGCGCGACAAGUACGAGACCCUCGUGGAGAGUCGCUCUGCUGACGAGGUGGAUGAGAUCUUUGCUUGUGCGAUGCCGUUACAGUUGGAGAAGCGUCUGUUUUCGAGCCUGGCGGGCAACAUCUGGGCCACGCGAAAGGUGCUACUCGCCCUGGUGGCGUGCGGCAUCGCCGGGGAGGCGCCGGCGGCGCCGGUCAUCUCGCUGGCCAUGACAGACUUCCCCGUGUACGCGAGAGUGAUGCGACCGCUUCAAAUAACGGAGCUUUUCACUGUGUUUAGCGGACCAGGAAAUAUUCGCCUCGUCGCCUUCAGCUCCGGCGCGAGCCGACGCCCUGGCGUGCAUCAGGUGCUAAGCACGCGCAUGGUGUCUCGGGAGCUGUGGACCAGUCAGGCGAUGAAAAGCAGCGAGGUGCUUGGCAAGAUUGUGUCGAACAAGGAUGAGGCGCAGCAGGCAGGGCUGAACACGAAUGUGGCGACGUGGAACGUACGGGAGGGCCUCCUCGGCUACAUAAGCGAUGAUAACAUAAUGCUCCGUGUGCAGAGCCUCGUGCUGCGGAUGGUGAAAAACGGUGAGGAAGUGGUACUUUGCGGCCACGGUAUCGGGGGCGCCGUCGCCUCCUGGCUGACGACGUGCAUGCUGCUGGAGAACACGCCACAGACGCGGGAUCGGCUGUUGUGCGUGACGUUCGGCGCGCCGCUCAUUGCCAGUCGAUCCCUGUCGAAUUUGCUCAUGAAGAACGAGCUCGCCAAGAAUUACCAGAACUUUGUGAACGGCAGCGACAUGGUGCCGCGGCUGGGCUACGUGGACUCAUUGCUGUACUCUGGCAACGCGGCCAGCUGUGCCUCGAUUUUGGGGCAGGACGGCCCGCUAAACUCCGUGCGGAAGGUGCGGGAUUGCGUCGUUCUCUGGACCGCUUCGCAUGAGGAGCCUCGUGGCGCCGCGCCCACGAGGAAUGCGGAUGAUUCCGGCGAUGGCAACCCAUCUGCCUCCAAUAUUGGGCGCAACGCACGCUAUCACUCUGUGGACAUGGCGAAUGGGUCUCAGGCCACGCGCAAGAAAGACUCGAAGCGCCCGCUGUCGCCAGUCGACCCGGUCAUCUGCGUCAACGAGACCGAACAUGGCGAUCUCUUCCUGCCAAGCCGCGAGCCUUUCGACAACAACGCCGUCCGCACCACAUACGACGGAGAACUGAGAGAAAAAGGCAUUUGUGUGGAAGGUGAACUCACCAUUUGCGACACCGACUUGAAGCGCUACUCGACAACCCAACACCGUGACAAACAAGCGAUGGACCCGCUUGGCUGCUACCACUUUCUAUGGCAACCACGCGGCAAGUACAUAUGCACGGAGGAUCCGACGAUGGCCAUCGGCUUGUUGUCGGACCGGACGAACAUGCGCCUUGUGCUGCGCGAUCACUUGCUAAGUGCGUAUAACAAGGGCAUGAUGGAGUACGUCUACUCUGCGCCCCCGUAGUAGAGGGCCCCCACCCGCGUGUGCCGGGCGCUCGUGACCGCCGCUGCUCUCUUCGCUGUGCCGUUGCUGUCUCCGGGGCUGUUGGUGCCGAGUCUCGCCUAAAUUUUGUUUUUUUUCUUUUUUCUUUCCCGCCCACGGUGCGUCUUCCGCAAUCUCUGUCGACCCUCCGCCGCCCCGCCGCUUCCUUUGUGUUUUUGCCUUGUCUCUCCCGUUUUCCUUUUUCGUCCUCUUCCUGUUUUUGCUUCGACGUGCACACCGCACACAUACACGCGCACAGGUGCUCGAACGCACGCGCGUGGGCACACGCGGGUGCGGCACCCUUUGUUCGCCCAUUCUAUUUUUUUCCUUUUCGUUUUGUUCCUGUUCUCCGUUCACCCGAUGAUGCUGUGGGGUGGGGGGAGGGAAUCACCUCUCCGUGCGUGGUAUCAACAAGGGUCCAGUGCACCCCCCCCUCCCCACACACACACUCUCUCUCUCUCGGGGAGGAAGCCACGCAGCCCCUGGUCCUUGCCAAUGCCAAAGGACUUCCUGGCGGUGACGGCGCCAAGUGCCUAGGACGUGGGGAAGUCAGAGGGAUUCAUUGCGACUCAUGGCGGCGGCGAGGUCGUGGAUGGUGAUGCGUCGGAGCGACCUGCGACCGUGAACACGCUUGUGCCAUCCAUAUGAUGGGCAAAGUGUCCGCGUAACUCGAACGAAUCCCACCCACCCCCGAUUUUCACUGCCCACUGGUAGAGGAGCCUGCGCCACCCCGAAGGGGAUGCACCGGGUGGCGGCGUGGGAAGUGGGUGGGCGGAGCUCGAGUCAGAGGCCGUGCUCAGAUGACUGGGUCGGCGCAUUGCUGCAACGCGUGUGUACGGCUGCUUCGCACCACGCGAUGUGGGGCCUGUGGCAGGCCUGGGCUUGAGUGGAGUUCAACUUACGUUGAAUGGAAGAUAAAAACGGACAUGUUGAAGCGUGAAGUCCUCUUCUGCCUUUUGCGUACUUCUCUCGCUUUUUUCUAUUUUUGUUCUUGGUGCUUGCUCGUUUUCCGUCCGCAUUUUCUGUGUUUUUGUUGUGCGUUUUUCUCCCCACCCCCACCCCCUCCCCUCUCUCCUUGCUGCAUUUUGGUUUGCCUUCCUGUACGUGUACACGUGUGCUUUAUAUGUGUUGUGUAUGUGUGCGCCCCCUCUUCCCUCUUCCAUGCAUCACUUUCCGACCCUUUCUCCGGUGUCGGCCAUUAUUCCUCCUCAUGAGCGUCAUCGCCAUUGUCGGCUUGCGUGCAUGUCGGUGCAUGUGUCUCUGCGUGGCUCCGUCCCUCUUGAUUCCAUACCUGCAUCAGCCAUUUCCGCUCUCCUACAUACGCACGCACACAUACAUACAUACACAUGCACGUGUGUGUGCCCUUUUCUCCGAUUUCCCCUCCCCCUACUAUUUCCCCUUCCUCGUUUUCUCGCCGCAUCCUUCCCCAAAAUUUACGCGCGUGUGUGUGUGCUGGCUGUGCGCUUUCCGUGUUGCGGACGGGAACAUGGGGCGGGAGAGGGGGAUGGGUGAGAGCAUCGUAGAGGAGGGGGCGAGGAGACCAUGGCAGAAGGGCGUCAAAACGGGGAAAAGAGAAGAACGAUCAGGAGGGAGGGAGGGGGAGUAGAGGCUGUACGUGAGGUGAAUGCUGCACUGACCAUGCGCAUGCGUGCGUGCGUGUGUGUACGCUUUAUUGGAUUUCGACGAGUGAUUUCUGUCUUUUUUUGCCUUUCUUCUUCGUCUUUCGGCGCGCCUGACACACCGUCCUCGCCCUUCCGCGGUUCGCCGACCUCUGUGCCAAGCGUACGCGAGUACGUCUUCGUUCCUUUUAUAUUUCGGUGUUUUUACCUCUGCCCAUGCCUUCGAUCUCCCCCUUCUCCCCCCUUUUCUCUCUCCCAAGUGCUUUUUGCUGACGUUAGUACCCACGGAGGGACCGUUUUAUGUGUGCGCCUGAGCGUGUGCGCGUGUGGGCGUGUGCGUGCGUGCGCCGCCUGCGCUUUGGCAGCGGCGAGGGAGGGCUCCGAAACCCCAUCCUCCUCCUCGCGCCCUCUUCUACCCCCUUCGUCUCCUCUCACGGCCACGAAAGGUACGCUUUUUUUUUUCGUUUGUUUUCUGUUUUAUCAGCGUGUCCGUUUCACCCACGAACAAGUCAACCCACAGGCGCAUACACAACAACCACAGCUCAUCUACCUCCUGUUGCACUACGGCUGAACCCUGGUCUUCUACAACGAAGCGUCGUGCCGCCGAAUCAGGUCAUGCGUCUAGCGAGGAUCUACUUGCCCUUCCUCGGAUACGUGCUGCGCGCUCGGUGAGACAGGGACCUAGCUGCACUGCCAUGCCUUGAUCCGCGCGGGCCGCGUCCAGGGUCCUGCGUUCGAGGGCGGAAGCGGUGACGCCUGUCGUGCGGGUCGUCGGGGGUGGUCUUUAAGUGCAUGCAGGGUGCACGAGUGCAUGCAAAACAACAAAAUGGUAUUCGUGCUGGCACUCACACGCAUCUUCUGCGACUUCUGCCCUCCCUCCACGCAUUCGGUGUGUGUGUGUGUGUUUGGUGUGCGGAGCUGCUCUUUUUCCUUCACAUCUGUUCCCCUGCCCCCUUCCUCCGAUUCUUGUCUUGAAGGCGUCUUUUCUCGCCUCGUGGGGAACUGCAACAUGCUUGUGAGGGGCGUCGCGCGUGUGUGCCUGCGUGUGUGCAUGAGCGUGUGUCUGUGGGUGGUUUUGUUGUUGUGCUCUGUGGGCGUGCGUGUGCGCGAGGAUAAUUUGUGAAUGCUGCCGAUGAGCGCAACUAGCGGCGCACUGAGCACAACACGCACACACACAAGACACACAACGAAAGGAGCGCGCCUAUGCCCCGGUUCCUUUUCUUCCCUUUCUGCGUGUGCGUAGGUACUUAUGCGUGCAUGUGCCUGUGUCUGCCCCGCACCCAUGCUAACAUCGAUUGUUGCUGUCGUUGUGCUUCACUUUUCGUUUCCUCUCUAUC